CACCUUCUGUUUCCUGACCCUUCUCCUUUCCUAGAGUCUGUAGAACUUUUAAAAGGAGAGCCUGGCCAAAAGUUUAGCAUCCAAGGGCAUUGCCACUGCCUUUGUCUUCUGAUGACAAUUGAUGACAACCAUAAUACACACAGCUUUUCACACUCAGAAGAGUUGAUGGUAUUGAGGAGUUUAGGAAUUAGGUAUUUAGGAAUUUUGUGUGACCUAAGUAGCAGGUGGGAGCUCCUUAUGCCAGUGAAAGGGUGUCCUGAUGGAAUCAGUCCCUUAUUAAAUCACAUGAAUGAGCCUGACAAAGAACCUCCUGGUAUCUUUUAUACUUUCCCAUCUAUGACUAUCCUGAAAUGUAACUUUAAUCCAAGCAGCAAUUAAAGUCUCCCCAAAAACCACAUUUGAAGUAAAUCUUCUGCUGUGCUCUUGUAAUAUGCAGCAUCUUAUGCUUAUCAUAUUGGAAAUGUCAAGUUGCAGUGCUUUCUAGUAUAGAUUUAUUUUCUGCAUUAGUAAAUGCUGUGAAAUGCGUUGCUAUUUGAGGGCCUAAUCUCGCCAUCAUUUUGAGCAGGUGGCAGUCCAAGCUAUAUCUAUCUCUGUUGCGUCAGUUGCAUGUACAGCACCUUCCACAUGCAGAAUUCAUCCCGAGCGCCUUUCAAACAUUUUGCAGUGGUGGACUCAAGGUCAAUAAAUCCAGUGGCUUUUAGUUGAUUCACAGCUAUAAAUGACACUGCUGUGUAUGCCAUACUCUGGGCACUAACUGGGUGCAACUCUUGGUUCAUUCCAGUUUAUGUCUGUUUGUGGUAUCUAUAUUACAGUGAAAUUCAAAAUUUAGUGAAAAAUGACAUUUAUAUGUAAAUUCCAAUAAUCUCAUGUAGUUUCAGGGUGUGUCUGAAGAUAAAUUUGUAUUUCUCCACUUUCUGCACGUACCCAAGUGAACACCCUCAUGGAGCUGACUAUGAUAUGGAUUUUGGACAUUCACAAAAAUCCUCUUAAGUUGUCUUUACUAAUAUCUGAAUGUCAUCAGCUUAAGCCAAAUUGACGGCAAUCAUAAUUCUGCUAGAAAGUACUAGCCAACUAGCCAUCGUACACCCACUAUAACCUACACAUUGACUGAUUGAUUUUUAAAAGUAUUUAUAUAUCACCCUUUCACAAAAUACCAGGGCAAUGCACAGCAAUUUAAAAACAUUUUUUAAAAAUCCGCUGAUGACUUGUCUACGCUUCUGUUUGUCCUGUACCUAGAAAACAUGGGUCUGCAUGGUUUUCUGCUUGACCCACACUUUCUAGGAAUGAGUCUGAACAGUUUCUCCCUUGCCCCACUCAUUUCCCAGGGGAAACACACUCUUUAAAGAUAACUCGGAACCAACAGCAAUCUGGGGAAAACUGCUGUUUGCUCCAAUUGAGUACUAAAGAGUGGUUUCCCCUGGGAGGAAAGCAGUGGAACAAGAGGAAGUGUGGAUAAAACCUAAAAGCAACACAGAACAGCAAUUAAAAUGACUGCCCACUCAACGAAAAAGUUGAAUAGGCCUGUUGGCAUGAGAAAAUGAGAGAUGCCUGAAUGGGAAAAGAGAGAAUGCCUGCUGACUCCCAUAGCAUGGGACAGGUGAUAGGCCUUUGUUACUUGAGGGGCAGCUAACAGUGCUCUUCUGGGUAAUCUUAGUGACUGGGCUGAGAUGAAGAAGAAGCAGCAGCUCAGGCAGUACUUAAGUUAUCCUGGACACAAGGUGUUCAGGGCUUUGUAUAUAAACACAAGAGCAGUGAACCUAGCCCAGCAGCAUAUUGGCAGUCAGUGCAGAUGCUUUAACAGAAAUGUCACAGCUAUCAGCCAUCCGACUCCAUCAGGAGUCUACAGUGGUACCUCAGGUUAAGAACUUAAUUCAUUCUGGAGGUCCGUUCUUAACCUGAAACUGUUCUUAACCUGGGGUACCACUUUAGCUAAUGGGGCCUCCUGCUCCUGCCGCACCACCGGAGAACGAUUUCUGUUCUCAUCCUGAAGCAAAUUUCUUAACCCGAGGUACUAUUUCUGGGUUAGUGGAGUCUGUAACCUGAAGCGUCUGUAACCUGAAAUGUCUGUAACCUGAGGUACCACUGUACCUGCUGCUUUCUGCACCAGCUGGAGCUUCCAGAUCAGGAGCAUUAGCAGCCCCACAUAGAGUACAUUGCAGUAAUCCAGCCCUGAGCUUCUUAAAAUAAUGAAUUUACUGACAUCUUACUAGUCUUAUUUGGAUGUUAAUAAUUCAAAAUAUUUUUCUUCACUGCAGCAUGAAAUUGUAGGGAUGUUUAAAAACCACCAACCAUCUCAACCAGUCCUGCCCCCCCAAAGGUUUAGGGGUUCUCUCAUUUUCCUACUCAUAUUGAAAUACUUCCCCUCAAUGAGGCCAAACUUCGAUUCACAAAAUGUUUAGGGGUAUGCGUACCCCCUGCGUACCCCCAGAAAAAAAGCACUGAUCUCGACUAUGAAAAGCUUUAAGAAAACAUUUGCCUCUUUUCCUGUAGAAGAAAAAUAUUUUUUGGAAUUCUCAUUUUUUCUCCAAUUUCAGUUAUUGAGUUUAAAAUUAGAUUUUAAAAUAUGUAGUAUAAUUCUAUGCUAGAGAAAGCCCUUGAACUUAUUGCAACAAACUGCAUCAGCUCCAGGAAGCUGAAUCCCGUGGAGAGAGCUAAUAGAUUUCUGUAGAGCAGAAAACAACAUUUAGACUUUUCUAGGCUUUGCCCUCUAACUUCCAAAGCUAUUAAUCUAUCAAUCAGAGUUGUGAUUUAACUUCAGCAGUGCAAUUAUAUAUGGGCUCUAAGCUGCUACCCUUUGCAGUAGCAUGGGAAAUAUAGCCAGGGGCUAAAAACUGGGAUCUGGACAUCUAGCAGGCUGGAUUCUAUUUCAUGUUUAAAUGAGAACUGCUGGAGUCUACAAGGAUAUUUUACCACUGGUGCCUUAGGCAUUUCACCAUGCCAUUGGCUGUAAAUUGUGGAAGAUACUGCCUGCCCCCCCACCUGCACCAAUACAAAUGUUAUCCUCAAUGUAGCAUAGUCACCCCUACCCCAGAGUUCCCCCAUCUAACCUAUGGCACAGCCUAAUCUGCACCUGCCAUAUACUGUUUUUCAUAUUAGUCAUGGUGCCCAUUAAAAGGCAGUGGCAUGGUUGUGCCAAAAUGAAUCCCAUUGAGUUGAUUGAGAGUGUGCUGAAAUGUCUCCCAUUGAGAUCAGUGUAACUGGAAAAUGCUCAACUGUGGAUCGAUUGCUUUCUAAAUUCACAGGCACACACCCCUGCCAAAUAUUUAUCUCAGUAUUCUUAUACAUUUAUACCAGCAGUGCCAUUUUUCUAGAAGAGGACGUGCCGGAACUCACCAUGAACACCUCCCUUGUUCUCUUAGAUGGCAAUUGCACCCACAUGAGAGGAGCCAGCAAGCUACACUUUGCCACUGUAGCUUACUUUCAAAUAAGCGUGCAUAGGAUUGUUUCGUAAGUCAGAACUGGACAGGACAUAAACAUGGUUCUUGCCUGAUGCAAAGAAAAGGACAUGGACAGUAACUGAGUGAUGCUAUUGAUAGCCGUCCUGAAGAUAUCAGUCAUACUGGCACAGGGAUAUACUUUUUAAAAAUAAAGUUGUCAAAGAUAGC